GCGCACCAGUCGCGAAUACUUCGCAAUGCGCGAAAGCGCGACGAGGGGAUUCCAAGUGCAUGCACUAAGUGUAUGCUUUUCGUGAGUUUAAAACGCUCACGGAAUAAGGGCUGGGUAAGACUGGUGCCAGCCGCCGCGGUAAUACCAGCGGCCCUAGUGGUGAUCGUUAUUAUUGGGCCUAAAAGCGUCCGUAGCCGGUCCGGUAAAUCUCUGGGUAAAUCGUUGGGCUUAACUCAGCGAAUUCUGGGGAGACUGCUGGACUUGGGACCGGGAGAGGUCGGAGGUACUCCAGGGGUAGGGGUGAAAAUCCUGUAAUCCUUGGGGGACCACCGGUGGCGAAGGCGUCCGACCAGAACGGGUCCGACGGUAAGGGACGAAGCCCUGGGGCGCGAACCGGGAUUAGAUACCCGUGUAG
rnacentral:rRNA from 1 species